GGGUCACAUGCAGACAGUUUCAAGAAUAUUUUUUGAGCGGUGUCCCAAAACUACUAGUAGGCUACUGUAUGUUACCAUACUGUGUUCCCCAACGGUUAUCCCUUCUGUUUUAGUUCUAUGUUGUUUUGGAACACGGUGGCGAUGGAAAGGUCAUUCACGUCAUGGGCUGUCCAAGAAGAGCUGUUUGUCCCUCUUGCUCCUCCGAAACAGGUGAAAGCUUUGUGUCAGAGGAGGUAGUGACUCUUCCCAGACUCAACAAAGGGUACGAGUGCUCUUUUGGAUUGGCUACCAUGGAGACCAACAAGACAGGCGCCAACCACCUCAAGUCCAUCGACAACCUCAUCUUCCUGGAUGACCCUCAGCCUGUCUCUGCCAUCCCUCAGCUCACCUGAGGCCAUGCCCACUCAUAUACCCUUAUUAAAUGAACCAACCCCCAAAUGAGAAACCAAAAACACACACUGGAACCUGGACAUUGUUAGCCUGGAAUCCACACUGAAUAUCGUCUACUAGGACGGUCCAACUUCCCAUCUAUUGGAGCUUCUCCAGACUGAGUUCGGGAAACAAUAGUGAAACGGAGUGAUAUUCAGUGUCGAUUCCAGGCUAGGAGAACCCUUAGGUUGCUUAAGAUUCUGUCUUUCCUUGAAGUUAAAAGCCCUGUAUUCUCUAGGGAGUGGCUGUAUUACCAGAUUCUCUGGAUGCCUCUUCCCAAUAGCUAAACAACAGCACCUUCUGCUCAUGUGAGACACUCGCAGAACACCGACACGCGCAGAAAGUUUGGCUGCCCAGAGGUGGAAGGCUAUUUCAUUGAUGCACUGUUUAUCAAAUUGUGUAGUAUUGCAUGAUUACCUGAGACGCGAAAUAACAGUUGUAUCUUAUUGUGUGAUUGUUUUGCCCCAAUGCAAUGUUAAGACAGGGCUAAGCUGCAUAUUACAUGUUAUGUUGUCAUGCAGGCUAAAUGAGUUUGGUUUCACCCCACAUUUAGGAUAAGGAUAUUCUCUGUGUCCUGCUUAUGUUUAAGGAACUGCAAAAUGCUUAGUUAGAACAGACAGAGAAUUUUGUAGGCACACAUCGAUCACGUCAACACGUGUGUGUGUGGGGGGGGGGGGGGGGGUUCAAAUCACCACAGGGUUUUUAUUUCAGCUGUUCAGAACUAAAGUAACACAUGCACAAAAGGUAAUACGGUUGUUUAGGUCUGGGGAAGAGGCGUCCUGGGGAAGAGGCGUCCUGGGGAAGAGGCGUCCUGGGGAAGAGGCGUCCUGGGGAAGAGGCGUCCUGGGGAAGAGGCGUCCUGGGGGGCGAGACUGGGGCUGAACAGGCUGUCCAAUCUGGUCACACAACCUCUGCCUAGUCUAUAUUUAGGUAGACCUAUGUGGGGCGAAAAUGAAUCUAUAAUCUAUAUCCGAAACAUUUGCAUAUCCUUCAUUUUUCUGGUGUUCCAACUAGGAUAUUUGUUUAUGGUCACCUUUCCUUGUUAGUUGCUGUAUAAGAGAUGUGUUAAUGUUUAAUCAGACAAAAUGUGCCAUGCUAAAAUGCAUGUAUUGAAUCAAGGCUUGCUUUAUAAAAAAAAAGAAAAAGAUCAUUGAUUAAAAAGUUGCUUCUCUGAGUGUAAGGGUACUCAGUGUAGAUUUGUGCCUUCCAAAGAUUGCGCUGCCAUAAUACAUUUCAAAAGUUUUAGAGAGGUGUUUCUUUCUAUCAGCUUCAAUGUGAUGAUAUCAAUGUGACCUAUUCAAAGAUUGCUUGCUUUGGUAAAGAUAAAUGAUCAACAACCGAUUCGAUUUGGACAGUACCUGCGAUGUACAGUGAUGCAUUGUAUUGCGAUCACACCUCUGAGUCACUCAGAAGUUUAGGCAUACUCAUUAAUGGCAGCAUAGUGAAAUAGAGGGAAAUAGAACAUAGCGAAAGAACAUACCAAAAAUGGACUGUUCAGGCAGAGAACCUGUGUAUAAGCUUGGAGGAGGAGAGUGGAGGAUAUUAUCAACGUCAAUGAACAAAUGUAUAGCUCUGUCAAUUUUAUGAAUAACUCCAGUAAAUCGUUUGCUUGUAUUUUAGUGCAUUGUUUAGCCAUCCUGGCAUUUGUCAGCAUAUAGUUUGUGUGACUUUGAUGCUAUAUUUAUUUUUUUUACAGGCAAAUACCGUUUGAGUCCUAGACCUCCAAUUUUCUGAUAUACACUACCAGUCAAACAUUUUAGAACCCCUACUCAUUCAAGGGUUUUUCUAGAUUUUCUACAUAGUAGAAUAACAGUGAAGAAAUAAAAACUAUGGAAUAACACAUAUGGAAUAAUGUAGUAACCAAAAAAGUGUUAAACUAAUCUAAAUAUUUUAUAUUUGAGAUUCUUCA
ensembl:lncRNA